ACACAUGCAAGUCGAGGGGAAACGACAUCGAAAGCUUGCUUUUGAUGGGCGUCGACCGGCGCACGGUUGAGUAACGCGUAUCCAACCUGCCCACCACUUGGGAAUAACCUUGCGAAAGUAAGACUAAUACCCAAUGACGUCUCUAGAAGACAUCUGAAGGAGAUUAAAGAUUUAUCGGUGAUGGAUGGGGAUGCGUCUGAUUAGCUUGUUGGCGGGGUAACGGCCCACCAAGGCGACGAUCAGUAGGGGUUCUGAGAGGAAGGUCCCCCACAUUGGAACUGAGACACGGUCCAAACUCCUACGGGAGGCAUCUUUGAGGAAUAUUGGUCAAUGGACGAGAGUCUGAACCAUCUUUUGUUGGCGUGCAGGAUGACGGCCCUAUGGGUUGUAAACUGCUUUUAUAAGGGAAUAAAGUGAGCCUCGUGAGGCUUUUUGCAUGUACCUUAUGAAUAAGGACCGGCUAAUUCCGUGCCAGCAGCCGCGGUAAUACGGAAGGUCCGGGCGUUAUCCGGAUUUAUUGGGUUUAAAGGGAGCGUAGGCCGGAGAUUAAGCGUGUUGUGAAAUGUAGACGCUCAACGUCUGCACUGCAGCGCGAACUGGUUUCCUUGAGUACGCACAAAGUGGGCGGAAUUCGUGGUGUAGCGGUGAAAUGCUUAGAUAUCACGAAGAACUCCGAUUGCGAAGGCAGCUCACUGGAGCGCAACUGACGCUGAAGCUCGAAAGUGCGGGUAUCGAACAGGAUUAGAUACCCUGGUAGUCCGCACGGUAAACGAUGGAUGCCCGCUGUUUGCGUCUGACGUAAGCGGCCAA
rnacentral:rRNA from 1 species